CCUACGGGUGGCUGCAGUGGGGAAUAUUGCACAAUGGGGGCAACCCUGAUGCAGCAAUGCCGCGUGAGUGAUGACGGCCUUCGGGUUGUAAAGCUCUUUCUUCAGGGACGAUAACGACGGUACCUGUGGCGGAAGCCACGGAUAACAACGGGCCAGCAGCCGCGGUAAUACGCCGGUUGCGAGCGUUGUCUGGAUUUACUGGGCGUAAAGGGAGCGUAGGCGGACGUUUAAGUGAGAUGUGAAAUCCUCGGGCUCAACUUGAGGUCUGCAUUUCAGACUGGAAGUCUAGAGUGCAGGAGAGGGGAAUGGAAUUCCUAGUGUAGCGGUGAAAUGCGUAGAGAUUAGGAAGAACACCGGUGGCGAAGGCGAUUCUCUGGACUAUGACUGACGCUGAGGCGCGAAAGCGUGGGGAGCAAACAGGAUUAGAUACCCCGGUAGUC
rnacentral:rRNA from 1 species